UGCGAUUAAUGAUCCGAUGAUUUUCAAGAUUUGCUGUGGAGCCACGCACGUACCCAGCCUCUACAGAUAUCCACUUGAGCUUGAUCUAGGAUGCCUUCUCCUCGAUCAAUCCACCUACUCCUAGAUGGAAUUGCAAUCUCCUUGAUCAGAUUCAAAUUUGAUUACCGACAGGACUCCGAUCAGCCCUUAAUCUCAGCCUUUUCGACUCUUCGCG
rnacentral:lncRNA from 1 species